AAAAAAAGGAAACGUGGAACACAGAUCAACGAUACUUUUGAAACUGGCUGCCGCACGUUUCGAGAAACUUUCCCCUAUUGUUUUGUUGGUAACUUGAAAGAGCGUCCCCGAUAUUUAUUAACAUUUGACGCGGCACGAUCGCGUGUCUACCUAUGUACACUAUGCAUCCACGUGUUACACCACGUAUUGCACGUACUACACACCGUACGUGUGUAUAUAUGCGCGCGAGGCGUUGUGAAUAGCCGGAUAGACAAUUGACUCUUUGUCGAGUCGCACCAUCAGUCCAGCCGGCCCAACUUGAUGACACUUUACGAUCAAAAGGGAAAGGGACAAAGGGCCGAAGAUUACCGGGCAUCCGGUGCAACAGAAUCGAAAGAGUAAAUAAAGACGUGUGAGCAAAGUGUGUAUGUGUGUGUGUGUGUGGAAUAAGAUUCGAGUGGGAAACAAAUUUUGCCAGAAUUUAAGACUGAUGAUUUUUCAUUGAAGAAUAAAUCAAGAGAAAGGUCAAAAGAUGCCAUCAAGAUGAUACAAUUUUAAUAGAGAUUAUUGAAUAUAAUCCACGACAAACGAUAAAGGAGACCGUGUUUCAAAGGAGUCUAAGGUAUUCUAUAAUUGUUCACUAGUCACUUGACAUAAAUAGAAAGAGCAAAGAAAGUGAAGAAAUGGAUAUUGCGCGAGUUUAAACAUGUACAGAAAUCAAAUUGAACGAAGGCAGUUAUUUUAAAAUAAAUUAAAAAAAAA